rnacentral:rRNA from 1 species
AGUGAACGCUGGCGGUAGGCCUAACACAUGCAAGUCGAACGGCAGCACAGUAAGAGCUUGCUCUUACGGGUGGCGAGUGGCGGACGGGUGAGGAAUACAUCGGAAUCUACUUUUUCGUGGGGGAUAACGUAGGGAAACUUACGCUAAUACCGCAUACGACCUACGGGUGAAAGCAGGGGAUCUUCGGACCUUGCGCGAUUGAAUGAGCCGAUGUGGGAUUAGCUAGUUGGCGGGGUAAAGGCCCACCAAGGCGACGAUCCGUAGCUGGUCUGAGAGGAGGAUAGGCCACACUGGAACUUAGACACGGUCCAGACUCCUACGGGAGGCAGCAGUGGGGAAUAUUGGACAAUGGGCGCAAGCCUGAUCCAGCCAUACCGAGUGGGUGAAGAAGGCCUUCGGGUUGUAAAGCCCUUUUGUUGGGAAAGAAAAGCAGCAGGUUAAUACCCCGCUGUUCUGACGGUACCCAAUGAAUAAGCACCGGCUAACUUCGUG